GGCUUAGGCAUGCAAGUCGAACGGUAGAGUGCUUUCGGGCACUUGAGAGUGGCGAACGGGUGAGUAACACGUAGGUGAUCUACCCUCAAAUCGGGGCCAACCCAGGGAAACUUGGGCUAAUUCCGGAUGAGUGCGGUAACGCAUAAAAGGUGGCGUAAGCUGCCGUUUGGGGAUGAGCCUGCGCCCUAUUAGUUAGUUGGUGAGGUAAUGGCUCACCAAGGCGAUGAUAGGUAGGCGGCCUUAACGGGUGGUCGCCCACACUGGGAUUGAGAUACGGCCCAGACUCCUACGGGAGGCAGCAGUCGAGAAUAGUCUACAAUGGACGAAAGUCUGAUAGUGCGACGCCGCGUGAACGAAGAAGCCCUUCGGGGUGUAAAGUUCUUUUAUAUGUGAGCAAUGCUUCUUAGGUGAAUAGUCUGAGGAGAGAGAUAUUAGCAUAUGAAUAAGCAACGGCUAACUCCGUGCCAGCAGCCGCGGUAAUA
rnacentral:rRNA from 1 species